GUGCCAGCCGCCGCGGUAAUACGUAGGUGGCAAGCGUUGUCCGGAUUUAUUGGGUUUAAAGGGUGCGUAGGCGGCCUAUUAAGUCAGUUCUGAAAUAUCCCGGCUUAACCGGGAGGGUGGGAUUGAUACUGAUGGGCUUGAGUGGAGUCGAGGUAGGCGGAAUUGACGGUGUAGCGGUGAAAUGCUUAGAUAUCGUCAAGAACACCGAUAGUGUAGACAGCUUACUAGACUUCAACUGACGCUGAGGCACGAAAGUGUGGGGAUCAAACAGGAUUAGAUACCCUGGUAGUCCACACUGUAAACGUUGAUUACUCGCUGUGUGCGAUAUACAGUACGCGGCUUAGCGAAAGCGAUAAGUAAUCCACCUGGGGAGUACGCCGGCAACGGUGAA
rnacentral:rRNA from 1 species